rnacentral:rRNA from 1 species
UACGUAGGGGGGCAAGCGUUGUCCGGAUUUACUGGGCGUAAAGAGCGUGUAGGCGGCCAAGCAGGUCCGUUGUGAAAACUGGAGGCUUAACCUCCAGACGUCGACGGAAACCGCGUGGCUAGAGUCCGGAAGAGGAGAGUGGAAUUCCUGGUGUAGCGGUGAAAUGCGCAGAUAUCAGGAAGAACACCAAUGGCGAAGGCAGCUCUCUGGGACGGUACUGACGCUGAGGCGCGAAAGCUAGGGGAGCAAACAGG